AAAACAAGCCGGCCAUCUUGGCGCCCUUAACCAGCUCCUGGCCGCUCCGGGCGCGGCCAGGGGUCCGGCCACCGAGCCCCGCGGCGGGCCUGGGAUUUGGAAACCUGAAGGUGCCUCUUCCUGGCUAGCCCACCUACAUGCUGUCAUCACUGGGCUUCUGCAACUCUCAGUCUUUGUGGCUGCACCCUUCCCUUCUGAAUCCUGAGGACCCAUGAGUGUCAGGCCCAUCAUGAAAUUGGUCGUCUUACUGGGUCUUUCCCCUGCAGCUUUCCCGAGGCUGUACAGCAUUUAUUGGUGCUCAUCUGUUUGAGUAGAGCUGGCAUAGAGGACUGCCACCGGCUGGGAGGGGCCAUGGUACCAGAGGUCUUGGGUGCCUGAAGAUACUCCCCCUAGCCCUGAUGCCUUGGAAGAGAAGCCCUUCAAGACAAGCUGAUGCCAGGCCCUGGCCAGAGCUUCAUGUGGGAGGAAGGGUGACCAGCCAGUUUCACGCUCCAGCUGCCUGCUACCAUGCCUCCCCACGUCAUGGACUCUCCUUCUGUAACCAUAAGCCAAAAUAAACACUUUUCCCCCUCUG
rnacentral:lncRNA from 1 species